UGGAGUCUCCUUCUCUGGAGACAUUCAAAACCAACCUGGAUGCAUUCCUGUGUAACCUGCUGUAGCUGACCCUGCCUUGCCAGGGGGUUGGAAUGGA